CCCUGGGAUCCUCUUAUUCAAGUUUAACUCUAAAAACACAGGUGUCUACCCUGCCACUGGGUCUGGUUGGUCCGCUCUCUUUUCCCAAAUCCCGGCAAAAUACUGAAGUGGAGAUCUUUGUGCCCUUCGGUCAGAGCACAGGCAAUUUAGCAGGGACUGGUAAAUUCACAAGCUCGGGGCAAGGCAAGAAGAUCCCAAGGAAGGUAUAUAUUAGAAGGUGGAAGGCCCCAGGGUGACCAGACUCAACCCUUUUGCAGUUAGACUGGACUAUGGAUGAAUCACCAGUUUCACUUCCUCAGUGAGGUGUGCCUGCAGCCAUUCCAGAAAUACUUCUCUGUAGUUCGGUCCCCAGAGGCAUCGGUCAGUCCCUCCGUGUCUGACAGGGUGCAGGGUGACCUGCUUUCCUCUGCGUCGAGUGGAAGAAGCAGCAGCCCUCAGCCAGCCCAGAGAGGUGUCAGCUUCUCUUCUCACCCAGCCAGCUGCAACAGCACCUGAUGUCAGGUGCUGCCGAGGGCCUGGCUUCCCGUGAGGUAGACUCCGGGCUGACUUUCUCACCAAAGAAAGAGGGGGCCUGCCCCGCCUCUGCUCAUGACCCACUCAAAGGCAGCCAGCCCGAGUUUGCCAAGGAGCUGCCGCUGGCGACAUCUUGAUCAUCCUAAGCAUUUGCUAAGUGCCAUCAGCACGUUGACUUAGGUGGUAGAGGGAUGUGGGACUGAUGUGGCGGAGAAGGCAGAUGGCGGGAGGUGUGAGAACCAGGCACCCGACUAGGCUCUGGGUUCCCCUGCCCUUGCCACACUGCCCUCUGAUCCAACCACUCAUCCAUGGACACCUGCAGCCACUUCCCCGCCUCUACACUCCGCCAGAACCAGCCCGCACAGUCUUCUAAGCCAUUAUUUUCUACCGUGGCCUAGAGGACCCAAUCCAGAUGGCUUUGUCUAGCCAGGGCUUUCCAUGACUGGGCCUCCUAUCUGUCGGCUUCAUUUUCCAUUGCUUCCCGAGGGGUAAAGGUCUCCUGUGCCCAGCCUGGCUUGUCUUCACUGCCACCCCUCUGUGCGCUGAAGCAGCCAGGCAUGGUUAUUUCGCAAAAGGCAACCUUAGAAUUUCUUCAUCUUGGGGUUUCACCCGUAAUUAUUCACUGAGUACCACUAUUCGUACAGUUAGAAAAAGGUGGACUUUCUCAGAAACCUUACCUGCUUCCCAGCCUACCCCCUGGUUCCUUCUUAUAGCCAUCUUGAGCAACAGUGAAGCUUCCUGAAUUCUGCAGAUGAGAACCCAAGGCUUAGAAGAGACUGGUUCCUCCUACGCCGGAAGACUCCUGGGCCAGAGAGCUCCAGUCUCUUUUUGUUCCACGGUCAAGGUCGUCCAUUCAUUCUACCUCACUGAAGUGAAAACCACAUGCACUUGGGAACAUGGACCAUCCUCGCCUCUGUGUCUGGCAAACGAUGAGCACAUUAGUGUCUUUGUGUGUGCAGGAUGCUGAAACUGGAGCCCAUAAACCUGUGGCCUGUAAACAACAGGAAUCUAUUGCUCACAGGAAGCUGGGAAGUUCAAGGUCAGGAAGCCCACAGAUUUGUGUCUAGUGAAGGCCCAUCAGCUAUAGAAAUCCAUCCUCUUCUUUGUUAACAUAACAGAAGACUGUGGGAGCUCUCGGGAGUCUCUUCUGAGAGCAUUGAUCCUGUACGCGAAGGCUCCCCACUGUGGUCUAAUCACCACGCUAAAGGCCUGCCUCCAGGUGCCACCACAUUUGGCGUCAGGCUCAACACAUGAAUUUGUUGCAGGGUCUCAUGUUUGCUGGGCAAGUGCUGGACCACUGAGCUACAUCUCCAAACCUACAACAGGCAGCCUUGUAAAAAAUGAAAUAAAGAAAAUACCAGACUGCAGCCAACAUUAGCCCCCAGCACAGCUGGGAGGGGAGAGGAAGCCGAAGUCUUUCCUGCCCGCGCUUCCCCUCACACACCUGGGGUUGCAGACAGGUUGGCUGCAGAAAAAUGCAGCAGGCUGGAGAAUUUUGAUUUCCUGCUCUGCAAACAGGGAGUGGCCUGUCUUCCCACUUCUGCAUCUCAGCACGGACACUAGAAA